rnacentral:rRNA from 1 species
UAGAGUGGGGGACAACAGUUGGAAACGACUGCUAAUACCGCAUAAGCCCACGGUACCGCAUGGUACUGAGGGAAAAGGAUUUAUUCGCUUUAGGAUGGGCUCGCGUCCAAUUAGCUAGUUGGUGAGGUAACGGCCCACCAAGGCGACGAUUGGUAGCCGGACUGGGAGGUUGAACGGCCACAUUGGGACUGAGACACGGCCCAGACUCCUACGGGAGGCAGCAGUGGGGGAUAUUGCACAAUGGGGGAAACCCUGAUGCAGCGACGCCGCGUGGAGGAAGAAGGUUUUCGGAUUGUAAACUCCUGUCGUUAGGGACGAUAAUGACGGUACCUAACAAGAAAGCACCGGCUAACUACGUGCCAGCAGCCGCGGUAAAACGUAGGGUGCAAGCGUUGUCCGGAAUUACUGGGUGUAAAGGGAGCGCAGGCGGGAAGACAAGUUGGAAGUGAAAACCAUGGGCUCAACCCAUGAAUUGCUUUCAAAACUGUUUUUCUUGAGUAGUGCAGAGGUAGAUGGAAUUCCCGGUGUAGCGGUGGAAUGCGUAGAUAUCGGGAGGAACACCAGUGGCGAAGGCGGUCUACUGGGCACCAACUGACGCUGAGGCUCGAAAGCAUGGGUAGCAAA